rnacentral:rRNA from 1 species
CCUAGUUGAUCUUGCCAGUAGUCAUAUGCUUGUCUCAAAGAUUAAGCCAUGCAUGUCUAAGUAUGAACUAAUUCAGACUAUGAAACUGCGGAUGGCUCAUUAAAUCAAUUAUAGUUUUUUUAUGGUACCAUACUACUCAGAUAAUAUUAUUAAUUCUAGAGAUAAUACGUGAACCAAGUCCCGACUCUUUGGAAGGGAUGCAUUUUUUAGAUAAAAGGUCGAUGCGGGCUUGCCCGCUUCUGUGGUGAAUCAUGAUAACUUGACGGAUCGCAUAGCCCUUGUGUUGGGGAUGCUUCAUUCAAAUUUCUGCCCUAUCAACUUUUGAUGGUAGGAUAGAGGCCUAUCAUAGUGGUGACAGGUGAUGGAGAAUUAGGGUUGGAUUCUAGAGAGGGAGCCUGAGAAACGACUACCAUAUCCAAGGAAGGCAGCAGGCGCACAAAUUACCCAAUCCUGACGUGGGGAGGUAGUGACCAUAAAUAACAAUACUAGGCUCAUCGAGUCUGGUAAUUGGAAUGAGUACAAUCUAAAUCCCUUAACGAGGAUCCAUUGGAGGGCAAGUCCGGUGCUAGCAGCCGUGGUAAUUCCAGCUCCAAUAGCAUAUAUUUAAGUUGUUGUAGUUAAAAAGCUCGUAGUUGGAUCUUGGGUCAUAAAGGUCGGUCCGCCUACUCGGUGUGCACCUGCCCUUCCAUCCCUAUUCUCGGCGGUGUGCUCCUAGCCUUAAUUGGCUAGGUCGCGGCUCUGCCACUGUUACUUUGGAAAAAUUAGAGUGCUCAAAGCAAGCUCAUGCUCUGAAUACAUUAGCAUGGAAUAACGUGAUAGGAGUCUGGUCCUAUUGUGUUGGCCUUCGGGACCGGAGUAAUGAUUAAUAGGGAUUGUCGGGGGCAUUUGUAUUUCAUUGCCAGAGGUGAAAUUCUUGGAUUUAUGAAAGAUGGACCACUGCAAAAGCAUUUGCCAAGAAUGCUUUCAUUAACGAAGAACGAAAGUUGGGGGCUCGAAGAUGAUCAGAUAUCGUCCUAGUCUCAACCAUAAACGAUGCCGACCAGGGAUUGGCAGAUGUGUCUCUAAGGACUCUACCAGCACCUUCUGAGAAAUUAGAGUGUUUGGGUUCCAGGGGCAGUAUGGCCACAAGCUGAAACUUAAAGGAAUUGAUGGAAGGGCACCACUAGGAGUGGAGCCUGUGGCUUAAUUUGACUCAACACAGGGAAACUUACCAGGUCUAGACAUAGUGAGGAUUGACAGAUUGAGAGCUCUUUCUUGAUUCUAUGGGUGGUAGUGCAUGGUUUUUCUUAGUUGGUGGAGAGAUUUGUCUGGUUAAUUCCAAUAAUGAAUGAGACCUCAGCCUGCUAACUAGCUACGUCGAGGUUCCCCUUCGCAGCCAGAAGUUUGAGGCAAUAAUAGGUCUGUGAUGCCCUUAGAUGUUAUGGGCCGCAUGCAUGCUACACUGAUACAGCCAAUGAGUUUCUCUUCUUGGUUCGAGAGGAUCGGGAAAUAUUCUCAAAUUACAUCAUGAUGGGGAUAGACCAUUGCAAUUACUGGUCUUCAAUGAGGAAUUCCUAGUAAGUGCAUGUCAUCAACACAUGUUGACUACGUCCCUACCCUUUGCACACACCGCUCGUUGCUCAUAUCGAUUGAAUGAUCUGGUGAAGUGUUCGGAUUGUCGACGAUGGUGGUUCACCACCGUCGACGUCAUGAUAAGUUCAUUGAACCUUAUCAUUUAGAGGAAGGAGAAGUCAUAACAAGGUUACCAUAGGUGAAGCUACGGUAG